UAGGGAAUCUUCGGCAAUGGACGAAAGUCUGACCGAGCAACGCCGCGUGAGUGAAGAAGGUUUUCGGAUCGUAAAACUCUGUUGUUAGAGAAGAACAAGGACGUUAGUAACUGAACGUCCCCUGACGGUAUCUAACCAGAAAGCCACGGCUAACUACGUGCCAGCAGCCGCGGUAAUACGUAGGUGGCAAGCGUUGUCCGGAUUUAUUGGGCGUAAAGCGAGCGCAGGCGGUUUCUUAAGUCUGAUGUGAAAGCCCCCGGCUCAACCGGGGAGGGUCAUUGGAAACUGGGAGACUUGAGUGCAGAAGAGGAGAGUGGAAUUCCAUGUGUAGCGGUGAAAUGCGUAGAUAUAUGGAGUAACACCAGUGGCGAAGGCGGCUCUCUGGUCUGUAACUGACGCUGAGGCUCGAAAGCGUGGGGAGCAAACAGG
rnacentral:rRNA from 1 species